GAUGAACGCUGGCUACAGGCUUAACACAUGCAAGUCGUGGGGAAACGGCAUUAUGUGCUUGCACAUUCUGGACGUCGACCGGCGCACGGGUGAGUAUCGCGUAUCCAACCUGCCCCUUACUUGGGGAUACCCCGUUGAAAGACGGCCUAAUACCCGAUGUGUUUCAUUGACGGCAUCCGAUAUGAAACAAAGGUUUUCCGGUAAGGGAUGGGGAUGCGUCUGAUUAGCUUGUUGGCGGGGCAACGGCCCACCAAGGCGACGAUCAGUAGGGGUUCUGAGAGGAAGGUCCCCCACAUUGGAACUGAGACACGGUCCAAACUCCUACGGGAGGCAGCAGUGAGGAAUAUUGGUCAAUGGACGCAAGUCUGAACCAGCCAAGUAGCGUGCAGGAUGACGGCCCUAUGGGUUGUAAACUGCUUUUAUGUGGGAAUAAAUUGGCGCACGUGUGCGCCAUUGCAUGUAC
rnacentral:rRNA from 1 species